GUCUCGUAGGUGACCUGCGGAGGGAUCAUUACAAGUGACCCCGGUCUAACCACCGGGAUGUUCAUAACCCUUUGUUGUCCGACUCUGUUGCCUCCGGGGCGACCCUGCCUUCGGGCGGGGGCUCCGGGUGGACACUUCAAACUCUUGCGUAACUUUGCAGUCUGAGUAAACUUAAUUAAUAAAUUAAAACUUUUAACAACGGAUCUCUUGGUUCUGGCAUCGAUGAAGAACGCAGCGAAAUGCGAUAAGUAAUGUGAAUUGCAGAAUUCAGUGAAUCAUCGAAUCUUUGAACGCACAUUGCGCCCCCUGGUAUUCCGGGGGGCAUGCCUGUUCGAGCGUCAUUUCACCACUCAAGCCUCGCUUGGUAUUGGGCAACGCGGUCCGCCGCGUGCCUCAAAUCGACCGGCUGGGUCUUCUGUCCCCUAAGCGUUGUGGAAACUAUUCGCUAAAGGGUGUUCGGGAGGCUACGCCGUAAAACAACCCCAUUUCUAAGGUUGACCUCGGAUCAGGUAGGGAUACCCGCUGAACUUAAGCAUAUCAAUAGGCGGAGGAA
rnacentral:misc_RNA from 1 species